CAGCAGCCACGGUAAUACGUAGGGUGCAAGCGUUAAUCGGAAUUACUGGGCGUAAAGCGUGCGCAGGCGGUUAUAUAAGACAGAUGUGAAAUCCCCGGGCUCAACCUGGGAACUGCAUUUGUGACUGUAUAGCUAGAGUACGGCAGAGGGGGAUGGAAUUCCGCGUGUAGCAGUGAAAUGCGUAGAUAUGCGGAGGAACACCGAUGGCGAAGGCAAUCCCCUGGGCCUGUACUGACGCUCAUGCACGAAAGCGUGGGGAGCAAACAGGAUUAGAUACCCCCGUAGUCCCUGUCUCUUAUAC
rnacentral:rRNA from 1 species